GACAGAGGUGCCAAGCGUUAGGCGGAAUCACUGGGCUUAAAGCGUGUGUAGGCGGAUCGUUAAGUACCUUGUGAAAUCCCACGGCUCAACCGUGGAACUGCUGGGUAUACUGGCGAUCUUGAGCCACCUAGGGGCGAGCGGAACAAACGGUGGAGCGGUGAAAUGCGUAGAUAUCAGGAGGAACACCGGUGGCGAAGGCGGUUCUCUGGGCAUUACCUGACGCUGAGGAGCGAAAGUGUGGGGAGCGAACAGG
rnacentral:rRNA from 1 species